rnacentral:lncRNA from 1 species
GUAUAUUCCCUCUAAUUACAUGUCAAGAGGGUUUGCUUCAGAAUUCUUAGGGUGUUUUUUUUUUUUUGGUGUGGAGUUCUUGUUUUUUUUUUGGCCUGAGGAAAUCCAGCUGUGCAAAGCUGAGUUUAGUUAACACGGCUAGGGAGAAGAAACCAAACCCUUUUUCCUGACCCUUCUUGCUUUUUAUGUCUCUGUAUUGCAAAUGACAUUAAGCAAAAUGCAGAACUGAAAUAAGAAAAGUCUGCCUGUGAAAACACAAUAAAGAUUGAGGAGCCGGUGUAAUACCAGGAUUCAGUCUUACAGAGGAAAUGAGGUUUUUGGAAAAGGGACUGUAACUGGAGUGAAGGGAUUCUUCCCCUCCCUUUGACGCUUGGGGGACCACGUGUGAGUAGUGUCCCCAGUUUUGAUCUCCCCAAGUAAUUGACAUAAUGGAGCUAGUUCACAGAGGGGUUUUGGUUCUGAAGCACGUAUUUAAGGAGGCUGAGAGAGCUGGAUUUGUUCAGUAUUGGGGAGAAAAAAUAAAGGGAAGAUCUUAUUGAUAUCUUCCCACUGCCCAGCUGGAUUGUGUGUCAUAAUACAGCCAGACUCUUAGAAAUUAACAGUGGGAGGAUGAGAGGCAACAGACACAGGCUGCAGCACAGUAAGGGAAAUUCCAACCAGACAUCCAUAAGGACCUCUUUUCCACUUGGGGGCAGUCAGAUAUGACUAGAAGUGCCCAGAGAGGCUGUGAAAUCUCUGUCCUUGCAGAUACCUGGAUUGGGCCCUGAGCAACCUGAUCUAAGGUGGCCCUCUUUUCUAUGGGACAUUGCACCAGGCAAUCUCUAAAAGUCCCUUCCUACCUAAACUACUCUGUGAUGUAAAGAAAACCUGGCUUGGGUGAAGCUUGUCAUGCAGGAAUACCACAUAUGGAAGGUAAAUAACAGGUGGGACCAGGGAACCUCUCCCAAGAUGUCCUGCCAAAGAUCCAUGAAGAUGGGAGAAUGAGACAAAAGAAGACAAAUUCAUCCAGUUGGAAAAUCCAGAGACAACAGAAGUUGAUUCCUUGGCAGAUCAUCCAGCAGAGGAAGAAUUUAAAGAUCUGUGUCCCUGGGGAAGCCAGCAUAAGCCUGAAUGAAACUCCUGUGUGUGGCAGUAAAUUCAGGGUUUGAGUCCUUACAGCCAGUGACAAGAUCCCAAGAAGGUAAGCAGUAAAUAAUUUAUCCUGCUCUCAUGUGGGUGGGUUUUUUUGGUUGUUUUUUUCUUUUUUUGCCUUGCAGCGCAGUUACACUGCUAUCUCUUGGUUUUCAUUUGUCUAUGCACAUGAAAGAUUCCCAGCAGAGCUCUUUAAUGAUUUCCUAAACUUAAACCACAACUUCUUACCGAGUCAGAUUUUCUCAUAAUAAUGGUUGCAUUUUAAUCUGUUGCAUGACUUAACUGUUAGACUUUUUUUUGAAGCUCACUCUGUCCUUUUGAUAGAGCAUGAACCCUCCUGCAAUAAAAGGAAAAAGUACCUGAUGCA